rnacentral:rRNA from 1 species
ACGUAAGUUGCGAGCGUUAUCCGGAAUCACUGGGCGUAAAGCGUUCGUAGGCGGUGUAGUAAGUCGGAUUUGAAAGCCCGGGGCUCAACCCCGGAUCCGGAUCCGAAACUACUAUACUUGAGUGUAUCAGAGGGUGGUGGAAUUCCCGGUGUAGCGGUAAUAUGCGUAGAUAUCGGGAGGAACACCAGUGGCGAAGGCGACUACCUGGGGUACUACUGACGCUGAGGAACGAAAGCUAGGGGAGCGAACGG